GGUGGAUUGCCGGAGUAGACGAACGGACCCGACUGUAAAUCGGGUGCUUCACAGCCACGCAGGUGCGAAUCCUGCAUCCACCAC
rnacentral:tRNA from 3 species